UGCAGUAUACACCACAGCUUGUGACAAUGCCAGAUCCUUAAUCCAUUGUGAGCCACAAUAGAAACUCCUCCAUACUCUUUAGACUUGAAAAAAAAUGAUGAUCAGAGCCACCAUGUUGAUGAUGGUAGAGCUGCUAUCAAAUUGCUAAUCCAUGUGAAGCACCUUCUCUAGAAUGUUUCAUGAGAAAGAUAUAAACUUCUGUAAUUAUUAAGCCACUGAAUUGUUUUGAUUUUUUCAUUAGGUCACUCUUACUACUACCUUGAAUUGGUACCCUGAAGUCAUAUUCUGCUCAUAAGAGAAACCCAAACUAUGUGGCAUUGUCUUAGCAGUUGAGCUUGAAAUCUGCCAUCCUUGAACAUUGUGGUAAAAUAUUUAGUAAGUCAGUUCCCUCUGAUAAAUUGGAAGGCAGGAUGAGUACUUACUAGGCCUAAAACUUCAAGGGAAAUACUUGGAGAAUGCAAAAUUUCCUGUGUUGGCUACUCCUUGAUGUUUUUAACAAGGUCUAGCAGCGUUAAAAAAUGAACUUAGUUGAGAAUCAGUAAGGUUUUCCAGCAGAGAUUAAAAGGAGGAGAAAUUUCUUUGGGGACUUUGGAGGUAUAGAAAAGUCUUUGUACCUCAAAUAGCAAAAGAGAAGGCUUUUCUUGCUCAAAUGUCUCUCAUGAAGAUUUUUUUUAAGCAAAAGAACCUAGCCCUGCUAUAAAAGAGCAGAUUGAGGUAUGGACUUCUCAGUCAAGCCUAUAUUCAGAUAGCCUCAAUGGAGGUAAAUUAAGGUAAAAUAGAUGCAUAGGAGCAAGAGAGUGAGGAAACAAUGUUAGCCUAUGUGCUAUGUCUAGAAAAGAACUUAUGGGUAGAGCUGCUGGCAUAUGAAGUUGAUAGCAAACAAAUACAUCUGGAGCUUUCUAAAUUUUUGAAGAAGUCAUUUUGCCAAAGAAACCAUGAGCCUAGUCUGAAAAAGUUUGUGAUUAAUCAAGCCAUACACUUUGGGUUUCCAAAUUUGCAACAAAGAUGAGUAUUCCUCAGAGGAGGCAAAGUCCCUUGUAGUCAUAAGAGGUAUGACAUAGGAGGUAGUAUUUAAAAACCCUAUCCCUAUCAGAGAAUUACAUCAAUGACCAUGGAAAACAAUGGAUGUGAGAGUUCUUACCAGAAAGCAGAACUGGGGUUUAAUCUUCCCAGAAGGAUAGAAGUGGAAGACAGAACUUCCUCCACUGUCAGGGCAGGGGUCCUCACAAUGCCUACCCCAGUAUAUGUUUAUCAUUGCUUUCACUUCCUACCCUUCUUCUGCUACCUCUCUCCUUUACUUUUCACAGAAAUUUUACAUGCAAUAAAUGUCUUGUGUGCCUAAUUCCCUACUGGCAUCUUUUUUCCUGGAGAACUAUAUCAGUGAUAUCAGCAUUGGCCUAGGAAACCAGGUUGUAAGAUGAAGUUUGAGGACUGACUCACUCACUCCCCUUGCUGGCAAGAGGGACUCCAUCCCAGGCAGAACACUGAGCAUGGAAAAACCAUGGCACAAGAUGACUGGUCAAUGGCUAAAACUUUCACCAAUACUGAUCUGAUAAAAAGUCCUGGUGGAUGUAAAAGACCUUGAUGGUGAGAUGAUUCAGGCAUUUCAAAAGUGUGGCUGGAACAACAUCUAGAGGGACAAGGAAGUUGGCUGGUUAUUAGUAACUUGUAUGGAUGCUUAGCAGAGGUAUAAUGAAAAAAAUGAGAACAGUUAACAAGAUUAUAUAUGAGAGCCACAGGACUCUUGGCCCUUAUUUCAUGUAGUGGAAGAGUAGAAACAGCUUAGGAGUGAAAUCCGACCUUAAAAUAAUAACUUCAGGGAAUUUUAAUUCUCAGUCCAAAGAGAUCUGUUAUGCUAAGGUCAGGAUCCUAGUUGGGAAAAAUCUAAGACCACUGAAGUACAGGAGAGGGUUAUAUGGGGGCUACCAUCCUAAAAAUUUGGCUUAGAACCCAGAGCAUGAUAUAGUAACCAACUCUCCUAAUGAGUUAGAACUUCCCCAGUAUGGAAAGACAGUGUGGGUUUAUCUCCCUCAUAACAGAUGACUCCUCAGAGCAUUAACCUCAUCUCUUUCCUGGCUUCCAUGCCAGUAGUUAGGACUGAAUCCCAACAUAACCUGGAUGGAAAUGGGCUAAGCCUAAAUACGGAAGGGAAAAUUAUACCCACAAAGGAUCUGCAAGAAAAGCUAGCAGGUUUAUUAGCAGGAGAUAAGGAAUUAUGCCUGGUAUUUUAAGGGUGCUUGGUCAAGGGAUCGCAAAUAAUAUUGAAUAUAAGCAAGAAUUCACUAACUUGAAAGCACUUUCUCAAGACAUAGAAUUUAACUUCUUGAUAAGGAUGUUAGACAGGGUGAAUUUUAAGCAUGGCUUUUAAAACUUGGAGAAAGUGAUGGUCCACAGGGGUGAAAUAGAAUUGCCUGAGUUGUCAUGGCAGGUGGUAUAGGAAGAAAUGGAAAGGCUAGGGAGUGAGCAUUCUGACAUGGAUAUAUUUUGUGAGGCCAGAGGACUCACCAAAGGACUAUGCCUAGGUUCAGAGGACCCCCUGACAUGGACACUAAGGCCAUCAGGAAUCGGGUGCAAAGGGACAAACUUCACUAAUAAAUUCAAUGGUACAUUUCCCUAAAGACUAGGGAUAAUGGUAAAGAUGCAGUCAUAGAGCUGGAUUCCUUAAUGGCCAUAGGGAUGAUAGAGCCCCAAAAUAAUAGAGGACAAUUGGCAUUGCAGAAGGCAGUCAGCUACAACUACCAUAACAACUGAUUAUGUCACUGGGGCUGCCCAGGAGGCUUGACCACAGAGUUGUGGAGUUGCUUGAUAGAACAUGGUGUCCCUAGGGACAAAUAGAUGGGCACCUAACAAGGAUGCUACCUAAUAUGUACAAUCAGAAGGCAAGACUAGAGAAAUAGGAAGUUGAGAGCUAGGCUCACUUCCUGAACCUGAGUCAAUUUUCAGAUCUGGAAUCCAUUAAAUAAACACAUGGCUGGGUUGUCAGGGGUAAGAUAUUAUAGCACUGUGACAAUUCUACCCUAAAAGGGCCUGCAGCCAGAGGUGUGCUGGAGUUUAUUCUUACCAUGUCCAAUGAGUUGAAAGAUGCAUCUCUUUGCAGAUCUUUGGUGGAAGCUUGGAAUUGGCCAUGGUGGGCAUAUUGAUGCUCUGGAAAUCAGCAAACAUUACAAAAGAGAAUGUUCCCCCCUCCCCACUACCCAAUCCCAGAGGGCUAAUUAUGAAAGUAUCUACCCAUACAUCACUGUCUAUAGCCAUUUACUCAGUGACUGUAUACUGGGAAACAUAACAAUUUCCUAUUGCAAAUAAGUAAACAUAGCACUCUAUAGGCUUCUUUGAGUUGUGACGGCAAUGCAUUCCAAACCUAGGACCACUGUUAUGAUCCAAACACCUCUUACCAGUAUUGAAUGGAGCAAGAACUGGUAAAGGCUUUGUAGCAGGUUUAACUGCAAGUGCAAUCCUGCAGACUUUUUGAUGUUAAGGUUUCCAGAUUAGAAAAGAGAUGCAGGGCAUAAUUAAUGGCAAGCCUUAGUGGGAGACCUGCAAUGGAGGCUCUGCUUCUAGAGCAGAACUAUGCUAUCUGCAGCAGACACUUUUUUAGUAAUACCUUCUGGGAUAUCACUAGGCAUCCAGUGACAACAGAAUACUUGGCUCUAAAGUACCAUGUGACUCUGUGUCCAGAACUGCUGACUUGUAACAGAGUUUUGCUGAAAUUAAGUCAUAAGGAUCAGUUUGGCCCAGCAUCAGUCCAUCAUAAGAAUGAAAUGAGGAGUUCUCUUGUGGUGAACUAGGUUAAGGUUCUGGCAUUAUUACUGCAGUGGCUUGGGUUGCUGCUGUGGCAUAGGUUUGGGUUUGCUGCCUGGCUGGGAACUUCCAUGCCGUGGGCAUGGCCCCCCAGAAAAGAAUAAAGUGAAAUGGUGCCCAUCCUCUCAAUUCCCACCCCAGAGAAGGAAUUUAUGUUUCCUGUUCUGACAAUUCUAGGGUAUGUUGGUUUAGUGAUCCUGAUCUGUGAAGUAGCAUGCUCUUACCAGGGAACACAAGGAUCUCAUUGAAAUACAAGACAUGACUCCAUUUUGGGUUCUUUGUGCAUAAUAAUCAUCAGAUAAGAAGAGUCACUAUUUUUGGAGAAAUGAUUGCUUCUAAUAAACAGGAGGAGGUAGGGUUGCUUGUAUAUAAAAGAGGUAAAAUAAUAUAUAUGGGGUUUAAAGGAUCCAGUUGGACAUCUCUUGGUUCUCCCACACCAAUUGUAACCUCCCCUACCAAUUAUAAACCCAUAUCAGUUGUAAUUGUAACAACCCUGGCCUAGGAAGGGUAAAUUACCUAGGGCCCAGACCACUUAAGAAUGAGAGUUUGGGUCACACCACCUGGUGGACCCCAAGACCUGUAGAGGGGAUAGUUGAGAGAGGAAUUUAGAAUGGAUAGUGGAGGAGGGAGAAGAUGAGUACCUGUGUGGUCCUGAAACCAACUGAACCAAUGUGUGCUGUGGUUCACUCUGUUAACAUCUCUCUUCUAAGUUUCCCCUUAGGUAGAGGGGUCUACCAGAACCAUAAAGGAGCUUCUUCUGAACCUGUAUAGAUGUAUGUAUCUUUGUAGCGUAAGGGAUGGACUAUGGAAGCCAGUGAAGGUGCAUUGCUAAGAUCUCUAAAAGAGCCUACAGCAAAGAAGAUUUUUGGAUAGCAGUCUCCACCUGCCUUACCUUCCCAUCCUCAGCAGCAUUCAAACUGAGUCAUAUCCUUCCCAGGGAAGCUUCUAUCCAGUGACUGAGCAUGCUGGGGAGAUCACAACUACGUCAUUCCAUAAUCUCCUCAGGUUGUUUCAUAAGAGAGGAUGAGAAACAACAUGUAUCCAGCAUUCUGAAGGAUGCCGUUAUGGUGUUGCGUAGGUGAUUCACUAGGAUGUAUUAUCAUGUUAUGCCUCAUAUUCUUUUCCAAUCCCUUAAAAUCAGAAAAGCAGAACCAGAGGCAAGGACCAGGAUGUAUGUGAUUCAUUCAGAGAACAUUCUGCAGGAAGAACCAAUAAAGGAAACAGGAUAACAAAGAAGACAGAGCUGAGCAAGGAUGUGGUUUCAGGCAGAUUUAGCCAAACAAUCUCAAGACUGUUAAAUAGGCAAAGAAGUAGUGAAGAGGUAUGGACAAUAGGCUCCUGUGAAUCUCCAGCACCAGCUUCUCCACUUACUUGCUGUUGGAACUUUUGGAAGACACCUUAAUCUAAUACAAACCUUGACUAAAGCUCCAAAUUUGUGUUUUGACCAUGUGACUGCCCGUGGUCCAUCAUUCUUUCCAGUUCACUUCAGCUGCAAGUGAGCAGUCUUGCCACAGGAAGUAGCUUCAAUCCAGUUGCUGGCGAGGGACCAUCUCGCCAUCUCCCACAGCGCCUGGUGCAGACAUCUUUAUUGUUACUGCAGGAGACAUUGACGAGGAACAGCACUGUUUUUCUCCAAAACUGCAUCACAAAAUAAGAAUGGAGUUUUACCUCAACACUCUGAUAGACCAGCAGUGCCUUCUGCAUGGGCUGCUGAUGCAGCAGUUGGCAUGGACAUGGGAGAAAAGAUUCAGAGGAUGGAAACUACAAACACUGGGACAUGAAAAAAAUACCACUAAAGCAGCUGAACAUGCUGACGGCAACCUCAAAAUGACUUUUUUGCCAGUUUUUGCUAAAUUACACAUCUUUCCAAAGACAUCCUACAUCAAUCAGCAUUCAGAUUCAACAAGUGCUUCCCAAGACUAAUAUGGGCCAAGACAACUGUCAGGCAUGCUCAUGUAUUUAGCACAUGUAACUCCCACUACAAACCUUUGGAGUAGGCUUGAUUCCCACAGUAACCCAGCUGAGAACUGGCUUUGCUUUCUUGCUUUGGAGUCAUAGCAUCUCGUAUAUGCCAAUUGACCUGUAUUAGACAAGGAUUUUGUUUUGCUUUGUUUUUCUUACUGCUUUUUAACCAUAAAACCCAGGCAGACAUAAGCAACGGUUCUCCACCUGGGGUGAUUUGACCCUAUUGUUUACCUCUUUUAUUUUUUUAUUGAAGUACAGUUAAGAUAUUAUAUGAGUUUUAGGUAUACAACAUAUUGAUUCAAUAUUUUUAUAGAUUAUACUUCAUUUAAAGCUAUUAUAGAAUAUUGGCUAUUUUCUCCAUGGCGAUAUGUCUUUGCAGCUCAUUUAUUUUAUAGUUAGUAGUUUGUACUUUUUUUUCACUAGCCACAUCCACAGCAUAUGCAAACUCCUGGGCCAGGGAUUGCAACCUAUACUGCAGCAGUGCUGAAUCCUUUCACCCACUGUGCCAGGCCUGGGGUCAAAUCCAUGUCUCCACAGCUGGAGCCACUGCAGUCAGAUUAUUAACCCAUUUUGCCACAGAGGGAACUCCAGUAGUUUGUAUUUUUAAACCCCUACUCCUAGCUUACCACCCCUCCAUCGCUUCCCUCUCAAUACUGAAUCACCAGUUCAUUCUCUAUAGUUGUGAAUCUGUUUGUAUUUUGCAAUGUUCAUUCAUUGUUUAUUUUUUAUAUUUUUAAGAUAUUGCUUUUAUUUUUUAUUUAAUUAGUUUAUUUUUAUUAUAAUUGAUUUAGAAUGUUCUAUCAAUUUCUGCUGUACAGCAAAGCGACCCAGUCAUACAUAUAUAUAUGUGUGUGUGUGUGUGUACACAUUCUUUUUCUCAUUCUUUUUAUCCUUGAGAAUAUGAUAUAAACUGAUUAGAACCAAGUAGGCCCAAGAUGGCAGAUCUAGUUCAGUGGAAUCCUAGAUCAAUGGAAGAGGAUAGAAAGCCCAGAAAUAAACCACAUAUUUAUGGUCAACUAAUCUGUGAAAAAGGAGGCAAGAAUAUACAGUUGAGAAAGAAAGUCUCCUCAUCAGUGGUGCUGGAAAAACUGGACAGCUACGUGUAAAUGAAUGAAAUUAGCAUAUUCUCUAACACCAUGCAGAAAAAUAAACUCAAAGUAGAUUAAAGGCCUAAAUUUAAGAUAC